UAAAACUCAAAUGAAUUGACGGGGGCCCGCACAAGCGGUGGAGCAUGUGGUUUAAUUCGAUGCAACGCGAAGAACCUUACCUGGUCUUGACAUCCACAGAAGAAUCCAGAGAUGGAUUUGUGCCUUCGGGAACUGUGAGACAGGUGCUGCAUGGCUGUCGUCAGCUCGUGUUGUGAAAUGUUGGGUUAAGUCCCGCAACGAGCGCAACCCUUAUCCUUUGUUGCCAGCGGUUAGGCCGGGAACUCAAAGGAGACUGCCAGUGAUAAACUGGAGGAAGGUGGGGAUGACGUCAAGUCAUCAUGGCCCUUACGACCAGGGCUACACACGUGCUACAAUGGCGCAUACAAAGAGAAGCGACCUCGCGAGAGCAAGCGGACCUCAUAAAGUGCGUCGUAGUCCGGAUUGGAGUCUGCAACUCGACUCCAUGAAGUCGGAAUCGCUAGUAAUCGUGGAUCAGAAUGCCACGGUGAAUACGUUCCCGGGCCUUGUACACACCGCCCGUCACACCAUGGGAGUGGGUUGCAAAAGAAGUAGGUAGCUUAACCUUCGGGAGGGCGCUUACCACUUUGUGAUUCAUGACUGGGGUGAAGUCGUAACAAGGUAACCGUAGGGGAACCUGCGGUUGGAUCACCUCCUUACCUUAAAGAA
rnacentral:rRNA from 1 species